rnacentral:rRNA from 1 species
GACAGAGGGUGCAAACGUUGUUCGGAAUUACUGGGCGUAAAGCGCGUGUAGGCGGCUUGGCAAGUCGGGGGUGAAAGCCCCGGGCUCAACCUGGGAAGUGCACUCGAAACUGCUUGGCUUGAGUACUGGAGAGGGAAGCGGAAUUCUCGGUGUAGAGGUGAAAUUCGUAGAUAUCGAGAGGAACACCGGUGGCGAAGGCGGCUUCCUGGACAGUUACUGACGCUGAGACGCGAAAGCGUGGGGAGCAAACAGG